ensembl:lncRNA
AUAUGGGGAAACACUGACAGAUUGAGACUUGUGAGAUCCAACUAGUCCAUUCUGAAGAUCAGCCCUGGGAUUUCUUUGGAAGGAAUGAUGCUAAAGCUGAAACUCCAGUACUUUGGCCACCUCAUGUGAAGAGUUGACUCAUUGGAAAAGAGUCUGAUGCUGGAAGGGAUUGGGGGCAAGAAGAGAAGGGGACGACAGAGGAUGAGAUGGCUGGAUGGCAUCGCUGACUCGAUGGACGAUUUGAGAUAGCUCAACUGGAAUUCCAUCACCACCACUAGCUUUGUUCGAAAUGAUGCUUCCUAAGGCCCAUAUGACUUCACAUUCCAGGAUGUCUGACUCUAGGACCCAGGACCUAAGGAAGUUCAUCUCCUACCAUAAUGAUGAUGAGCAUCGGAUAUCCUUAGCUGGAAUUACAUACUCACUUCAGGCUGUAGCUGAGAUCUGAGGCACACCUGAAGUAGCCAGCAGAAGUUAAGUGUCACUUUGUAUUCUUUGUUUUAAUUGAUCUCUUCCCUCCCAGAGAUGGGCGUUGUUUCCCUUUGUCUCUAUCUUUUGUGUUGUUUUCAUAAGGAGGAUAAACAUAGGGUAGAACACAGGCAUGGGUCUUACAAACUUGUUGUUUGAGGUGGUCUCACUGACUGGUGAGUUUAUGGUUCUUGCUGGAUUGGAGUCUGUUUGGGCAAGUUUUGCUGUGGUUCUCUAAUAAAAAUGCUGUGUGAGAUUCUCCAUUAACCUUGUUCAGUGUUGUGGCCUGAACAGGUAGCUAGCAAUCAGAUCAGGAACCCAUGACACAGAGGGUGCUCGCAGCACUUUAUGUGCCUGACUUUGCCUGACCUUGUUCUAGGGGAAUAUGCCAUAAAAAGGGGUCUCAACCUUUAAAGGGCAUUUGUUAUCUCUACCCUUAUUGUCUUUUUAGUGGUAGAAAGUCAUGUAUCAGUAUCGGCUGCCUAAUAUCACAUUAUCAGGUCUGUGACUGGAGGUGUAUACUUUUGUGGGUGACUAGUGUUACAAGUUUUCUUAAAAACUAUUCUUACCAUUUGUGAUGACAAAGGUCUUUGCUUAUUUUUGAUUGAGAUAUAGUUUAUUACAAUUUUAUAAU